GGUUAAGCUGUCCCUUGCCUGUAAGUUUCAUCAUCCCAAGAUGCAUCCACAUGAGGAAGCUGAUAUUCAUCAGGUUUGAGAGCCAACGCAAAGUCUGGCAGCGUUGGGGCUGUCUCCAUGAUCCUACAGCAAUCCUCUUCAGGCUCAACGGACUUGGUUUAACUUGCGGUUCAGCAAAAAGGAUUUCCCUUACUAUUACAAUUCUGUACCUCAUCAAAGUCAAGAGGCUACCUUGUAAUAUGUCAAUCCAAAUUCAAAAUAAAUACAAGGAAAACAUGCUGUCCUCAAAACCAAUAUCAAAUUUUUGCAAUCUACUUCAGAUAAGCAAUUCUGCAGCCUAGUGUCAUCAUAUC